rnacentral:rRNA from 1 species
UACGAAGGGGGCUAGCGUUGCUCGGAAUCACUGGGCGUAAAGCGCACGUAGGCGGGUUGCUAAGUCAGGGGUGAAAUCCUGGAGCUCAACUCCAGAACUGCCUUCGAUACUGACGAUCUCGAGUCCGGGAGAGGUGAGUGGAACUCCGAGUGUAGAGGUGAAAUUCGUAGAUAUUCGGAAGAACACCAGUGGCGAAGGCGGCUCACUGGCCCGGUACUGACGCUGAGGUGCGAAAGCGUGGGGAGCAAACAGG